rnacentral:misc_RNA from 1 species
AAGUCGUAACAAGGUUUCCGUAGGUGAACCUGCGGAAGGAUCAUUAACGAACAAAGGAUUCUUUAUGAAUCUUUUGGGAUCAACCAAAACCUGUAAGAUACAAAAGUAUUUAAUCAUUGUAUUGAAUACGCUUUAUAAUAAAUAUUACAAAACUUUCAACAACGGAUCUCUUGGCUCUU